rnacentral:lncRNA from 1 species
AUAUUCUAAAAGCUCCUGACUAUCCCUCCACCCGUACCUCCUUUAUCACAGAGCGAUCAUUUAGAGACCUUAGCUAGUGAUCUGGACUGUUUCUCUUUCGACGAUGAAGCUUAUUCCCCAUCGUCUCACUGGCCGAUCUUAACCCCUGUUAUUUUGAGGUCAUAUAUAAUAUUCAGAGUUUACCUCGAUUUGAUACCGCUCUUACAAACUGCACCUAGACAGUGUUUUACCCCUAGAUGUCCAAUCAAUUGCUACGCCUCAAUGUAUUUUGAGAAGAACCAGCUAGCUUUGUGUUCAAGUGGCAUUUCACACCUAAUCACAACUCAUUCGCUGAUUCUUCAACAUCAGUCGGUUUGAACCUCCACUUAGUUUCAUACAAACUUCAUCCCGAUCAUGGAUAGAUCACACAGGUUUGAGUCCAUAAGUAGUGACAAUUGCUCUAUGAAGACUCACUUUCGCUAUGGCUUAAUUAUAAC